AAACUACUCCCUCCGUCCGGAAAUACUUGUCGAAGAAAUGGUACUUGUUGGAGGAAUGGAUGUAUCUAGAUAUAUUUUAGUUCUCAAUACAUUCAUUUUUAUGCAUUUCUUCGACAAGUAUUUCCGGACGGAGGGAGUACAAG
rfam:Triticum aestivum genome assembly, contig: Triticum_aestivum_CS42_TGACv1_scaffold_329309_4BS